rnacentral:rRNA from 1 species
GUCUGCAACUCGACUACAUGAAGCUGGAAUCGCUAGUAAUCGCGAAUCAGAAUGUCGCGGUGAAUACGUUCCCGGGUCUUGUACACACCGCCCGUCACACCAUGGGAGUCGGAAAUGCCCGAAGUCAGUGACCUAACCGAAAGGAGGGAGCUGCCGAAGGUGGAGCCGGUAACUGGGGUGAAGUCGUAACAAGGUAUC